GACGAACGCUGGCGGCGUGCUUAACACAUGCAAGUCGAACGGAAAGGCCCUGCGUUUGUGGGGUGCUCGAUUGGCGAGCGGGUGAGUAACACGUGUGUAACCUGCCCCUGUCUUUGUGAUAUCUUCACGAGACUGGGGCUCAUACAGGAUAGAAGCUCCUGCUGCAUGGGGGGGGUUGGAAAGUUGCGGCGGUUGGGGAUGGACUCGCGGCUUAUCAGCUUGUUGGUGGGGUAGUGGCUUACCAAGGCUUUGACGGGUAGCCGGCCUGAGAGGGUGACCGGCCACAUUGGGACUGAGAUACGGCCCAGACUCCUACGGGAGGCAGCAGUGGGGAAUAUUGCACAAUGGGCGGAAGCCUGAUGCAGCAACGCCGCGUGCGGGAUGACGGCCUUCGGGUUGUAAACCGCUUUCGCCUGUGAUGAAGCGUGAGUGACGGUAAUGGGUAAAGAAGCACCGGCUAACUACGUG
rnacentral:rRNA from 1 species